rnacentral:rRNA from 1 species
CACGUAGGGUGCGAGCGUUGUCCGGAAUUAUUGGGCGUAAAGAGCGCGUAGGCGGUGUGUCGCGUCGGCCGUGAAAACCUGCAGCUUAACUGUGGGCUUGCGGUCGAUACGGGCAUCACUGGAGUUCGGCAGGGGAGACUGGAAUUCCUGGUGUAGCGGUGAAAUGCGCAGAUAUCAGGAGGAACACCGGUGGCGAAGGCGGGUCUCUGGGCAACUACUGACGCUGAGGAGCGAAAGCGUGGGGAGCGAACAGG